GAGGAUAUAGCUCAGUGGUGAGUGCAUGUCUAGCAUGCACGAGGUCCUGGGUUCAAGCCCAGUACCUCCA
rnacentral:tRNA from 1 species